AGGGGGUCGGGGCCCCUAAAUCCGCCACUGUUCAAGCAUCUACGUACACCAAUUAUGAAUAUGUUCAUUGACAUUGAUAUAAAAAAAAUUAUAAGGAUAUGUGGAUUGUGUGUUUGAUUGCCAAUACACCUUAUCCCUAUUUGUCCGCCAUUACUGGCCAUGGACAUCACAAAAGUUCCCGUAAAAUGUUGACGUCAUAUAAGAAAAUAUUUGACACCACAAUUGAAAGUAAUACACCUUAUUGCUAUUUGUCCGCCAUUACUGGACAUCACACAACUGUCACAAGUUCCCUUAAAAUUUUGACGUCAUCAUAAAAAAUAUCUGAUGCCACAAUGGAAAAGUGAUUGUUGUUUGACGUCAAAAGUUCAAGCAGGAUGAAUUCUCGGGUCAGGCGGGAAUAGCGAUAAGGUGUAUUAUUGUAUGACGUAUGCUGACGUAAAAAGUUCAAGCGGGACAGAUUUCCAAAUACUGAAAUAGCGAUGAGGUGUAUGAGACAGCUAUCCACCAGAAUUUAAAUGACUUGGAUAAAAGAAAUUAUAGGUCACUGUACGGCUUUCAAAACUGAGAAAACCAAUGCCAUAUAGUCCACUUUGAAGCCUUGACAAACAAAUGUUAAAUUUUUCUCAACACAAUUGAAACAAAACAACUAACUUACAUUAAAUACACAUUAUGAAAAAGAAAUUUGACAGACUUAAACCAACAACAACUAUUGCAAGAAGCAUGACUCAAUACCUUGUUUCCGAGGCACACAAACAAGUUACAAUAACACUAAUAUACAUGAUAUAAGCACCAUUUGAAUAUGGAGAUUUUUUUUUCUAGUAAAAUCAGUGUAUGUAUGUAUUUGCAAAACAGUAAAUUAAAUUUCCCUUAACAGCUUAAUGAACAUUACAUAGACUAUGUAAGACUUCAGUACAAGCAAGAUAAUAUAAACUGUUGCUUAAAAUUAUAUUUAUUGCUUCAUACACACAAUGUACAUACAAUGUAUCUUUUAUUUUUUAACAGGAGCUAAAAGAAAAGCCACAAAGGACAAGUUCAAUAUGCAGGUUUACAAUUUGGAAGUGGCGCAGGUUCUUUGGAAUGUUUACAACCUUUCAGGAGAAUUUUUUUUUGAAAAGCAUGGCACAGCAAGAAAAAGAUAUAAGACACUACAAGACAUUCCAAGUGAUUUUGAAUAAGACAAUUGAUUGACUUUUUCAAUGUAUUCUUAAAUAAAUCAAAUAGUUGAUGUAAAA